rnacentral:lncRNA from 1 species
AGAGAAGGGCUGUUUGUGUGACCCAGUGACCAUGUGGCCCCAGCUACAAUAGUGUUAUGGUAGUCUUUCUCAAAAGGAUAUCUUGGUGAAAUAAUAUCGAUGUGUAAACAUACUUCUUUUUUCAUAAAGGACUGCAUUUGUUCUUCUGAAUAGCAUUGCUGUUUUGGUGUUCUCAGCCAACGUUAUACACUGUUGGUCUUUACUGGUGAAUAAGAAGGCCCUGUUAAAAUUAAAAGGAGAGAGCAAGUUUUCCCAACAGACUUCAGAAGGAUAUACUCCUAAGAAAUCCCUCUAAAUUACAGUCAUUUGGAGAAAAUGGAGGAAUGAAACCCAGGAAAUAUAUGAAAAAACUGUCUAUUGCUGGUAUCUAUCCACAAAAAAGAAAACAAACAAGAAACCAUUUCAG